CUGAGGCUGAGGAAGGGAUUUGGGACGUGUACCCAAAGCGCUGGAAGUCGGGAGUGUUUGGGAGGGCACUGCGUGUCUAUAGAGCAUCUAGAAGAGAUCCAUGGGAUUUUGGGGGGAGACUCUAGGAGCGUUGGGGAAAGAUAUUGGGGGUCCAGGAAGGGGUUUGGGGGGACCCUUGGGCUUUGGAUGGUCUUUAACGGUCCGGGGAUCUGUGGGAUGUUUUGGGGGCCCAGGACAGCGUUGGAGGGGGUCUGUGGGGACAAGGAAGUCUGUAGGGGCGCCUGGGGGUUUAUUGGGCAUAUCGGGGCGGGGAGCCCCCAAACCCGUGGGAGCGGGGCUCACCUGGCUUCCUCACCUUCACACGGCCGACGCGGCACCGGCGGGGUCUGGUGUCCCCCCGCCCCUCAGGGCGAUGGGGGGGGGGGUCAUGGGGGGCGUCAGAAGCUCCCCCUGAGCCCCCAAAAAUCCCUCCUGCCCCGCCUCCCAUUGGCCGCUGGUUCCGCGGCACUUUACUCACUUCCUGGACUACAACUCCCGAAAGGCCGCGGGGCGCCGUGGGACGCCGAUAGAGCCGGGACUGCGGUUCCCGUCAUGCCGCGCGGCCCGUGGGAGUCCCCUCAGAGCCGGGGCUGUCCCCUGAGGAUCGUCCCGGCUGCUCCCCAAGUGCUUCCCCGAACCCUAAGUGCCCCCCGGGGUCCCGGCUGCAGGGAAGUGUCUGCUCUGGUACCUGCAGCAUCUCCUCUCCUCGGGAGCUGCUCAAGGAGGAAGGAUAACAGCAGUGAAAGGGCCCUGGGGGCCAAAGGAGACAUCAGCAGAGCAAGAAACAUUUCCCAAGCUCUAGCUGGUGUCAGGUGAACUCAAACGGGAUAUUAGAGGACCCUUCUGCUGUGGGACUGCUGAGGUACUUGAAGAACAGCAGGUACUGAUGGCCAGUGUCCCGUUGGCAAUAUGGCACCGACUGGGACUUCAGGACCCUGUCCAUGAGCUGAUCCGUGAACUGGAGGGCUGGGCAUGCUCAGCAAGAGUCGCUCAGCCCUCAGUAGCUCCACGUGGCGCCUGCCUAAGUCCCAUGGAGAGUGGACACUGACAGUGGACUGUCAUGGCCUGAAUGAAGUCACACCAUGACUGAGUGCUGCCUGCUGGACAUGUUGGAAUUCAGUAUGUGCUGGAGUCCAAAGCAGCAAAAUGGUGCUGCCAUAGACAUUGCCAAUGCAUUCUUCUCCAUUCCUCUGUCAGCAGAUUCCCAGAGCUGGGGUCCCUCUUUGGACCCUGGCCCUGAAGCUGCCCCAAAUCGUGCCUUGGCCUCCCUGUGGCCCCCUGCCCACACAGUCUUCCCAGGAGGAAGGGAAUGGAAAUUUAUUUUCAAGAGACUCUGUUCCCUGGGCAAGGCCUGACGUGCUUGACAUCUCAAAGAACUGGGAGUUGCCAGAGGAUGCUCAAGAGAGAAGUGACCAUCAACACCCAAACAUCCUUCCUGGUGUGUCAGAGACACUUGGUCUGAGAAAAUAUCAACAAGAGAAUGAAGAAUAAGGACCUAAUUAGCAUUGAAGGCAAAGGGAUCAAUAACCAAUAGGAAACCAGAUACAAAGAAUUGUGUAACUUUGGCCCAUGAACAUUGAACCAAUUAAUUUUUCUGGGUUUUGACUGUGUAAGUGUGUGAAAAAUCUAGUAAAGAACCAUGUGUGAUGGAAUUAUUUUCUCUGCACAACACAGGCAAUGUGUGGAUGAAAUUAUCUCUAUUGCACAUUCUGGCCAGAACAACA